GAUGAACGCUGGCGGUAUGCUUAAUACAUGCAAGUCGUACGAGAGUUUUUGACUCUAGUGGCGGACGGGUGAGUAACACGUGAGAAUCUGCCCUUAGGAGGAGGAUAACAGCUGGAAACGGUUGCUAAUACUCCAUAUGCCGAGAGGUGAAAGGAAGUAUCUGCCUAAGGAGGAGCUCGCGUCUGAUUAGCUAGUUGGUAGGGUAAAAGCCUACCAAGGCGACGAUCAGUAGCUGGUUUGAGAGGAUGAUCAGCCACACUGGGACUGAGACACGGCCCAGACUCCUGCGGGAGGCAGCAGUAGGGAAUUUUCCGCAAUGGGCGAAAGCCUGACGGAGCAAUACCGCGUGAGGGAUGACGGCCUGUGGGUUGUAAACCUCCUUUCUCAAGGAAGAAGUUCUGACGGUACUUGAGGAAUAAGCAUCGGCUAACUCUGUGCCAGCAGCCGCGGUAAUACAGAGGAUGCAAGCGUUAUCCGGAAUCACUGGGCAUAAAGCGUCUGUAGGUUGUUUAGUAAGUCUGCUGUUAAAGACUGGGGCUCAACCCCAGAAAAGCAGUGGAAACUGCUAGACUUGAGUGUGGUAGAGGUAGAGGGAAUUCCUAGUGUAGCGGUGAAAUGCGUAGAUAUUAGGAAGAACACCAAUGGCGAAGGCACUCUACUGGGCCAUAACUGACACUGAGAGACGACAGCUAGGGGAGCAAAUGGGAUUAGAUACCCCAGUAGUCCUAGCCGUAAACGAUGGAUACUAGAUGUUGCACGUAUUAACCCGUGCAGUAUCGUAGCUAAGGCGUUAAGUAUCCCGCCUGGGAAGUACGCUCGCAAGAGUG
rnacentral:rRNA from 1 species